rnacentral:rRNA from 1 species
UUAGAGGCAAACGGGUGGACCCGCAAUACGUCGACCCGGGGGAUUCAACCAGGCCGUGCGUUCGGGACGCGUGGGGGUUACGCGGAGCUGUAAAGCCCGUGCCUUUGCGCAGGUCUCCGGGCGGACUGGUGCACUUUCCUCGGGUUGAUUGCCACGACCGGCUCUCCGUGCGGCCACAAGCCUUUGCUGGGAAGGUGACCGUCGGCCUCCGCGCCGGCGGUGUUAUAGACCAGCUUGUUCGUUGAGCUCGUCGGAGGGCCGAGGAAGUGUUGCCGUUUCUCGUCCACCCUCCGGCCAUCCUUGCUCGUGCACGACUGGGGUGAACUGCUCGUCAGUGCUCUCCCGACCGCGAGCGUAGGAAGGGCUGGUACGGUGCGAGAAAGCUUCGGGCCAGUGGCGAAUCGGUCGGUCCUCCACCCGACC